AGUGGUAAGGCCUGUAUUGCUUGCUGGCAUGAAAAAACUAUGGCAUUCUGCUAAGCAGGUUACGAGCAUAAGCAACACACUUGAAUGGGCUUGGUGUUGAGGAGCCCCUCGGUGUAGGCGCCUUUCGUUAAUCAUGGACAGAUAGAGCAGAGCAAAUGGCAAGCAUCGUGUAAACAAUGAUUCAUCAACAAAAAACUUAUUACUACAACUGAAAGCCAUGUCAAGCCAAAAUCAUAAUUUCACAUUUCUAGUGGUUGUAAGAAUAUAUGGCAUAUCCAUAAGUGGUAAGGCCUGUAUUGCUUGCUGGCAUGAAAAAACUAUGGCAUUCUGCUAAGCAGGUUACGAGCAUAAGCAACACACUUGAAUGGGCUUGGUGUUGAGGAGCCCCUCGGUGUAGGCGCCUUUCGUUGUUGACUGAUUCUCAACAACAGACACCAACCUAUACUAAAUGAUCACGCAACACCACCAGCAUUCUCAACGCACCUCCUCAGUCGCCUCUCUGCUGUCAGCAUGACUAAGAAUAGGUGGGCGCUUCAAACCAAACACGCUUGGAUCACGGUGCUGAAUACGGUGUUGAAUAGUGGUGGCACGUGUCUCAUCAUGAGCAACAAUAAUAGCAGUUCUAAUAUCAUACUUCCUGAAGAAAAUACCAGGCCUAAACAGAUUACUCAACAUACUAUAGAGUGCAAUAAAAAGGCAGAUGAUGAUAUGUAAAACAGCAGACACUGAAGAAAAUACCGUAGAGUGCAUUGCAAUGGACAUAGAUUCCAUGACACAUCUAAGAGUCAUCCCUUUCUGCUGUACUCUUUGAUCUAUGUUACCUGCAGAAAAGGACUAAGAUUAAGAAUCAGAUACCAAUAAAUGGAGCGCUUUCAUAAAGAUCGAAAUGGGCCAUAAUAUAAUGAUAUGACUUACUGCCCUAAUAACUAACUAAUACUAAUUACAGUAAACAGAUUGCUGAUGGCCAUGCUCAUUUGGUUCCUGUAUUUGUCCAUGCUGCCAGCUUCUGGCAAUAAAAAAAUUCAUGUAGGGGUGCUUGCUAGUCAUUUUUUCUAUGGAGUUAUGUUUUGGCUUGAUUAUCUUGUCUUGGCAAGGAUUUCAGAUAUUCAAGACAGAUUUACUUCAAGAAACUACAAUUAUAUAAGCUACUGGAGGAAUGAAAAUAAAAAUACCUUCAUGAGAUUGGUGGUAUAGCCUGUGAUUCUGAGUUCACAUCUCCCUUUUAAUGCUGGCAAUAUGUUUUCCACUGUAUGUUCCAUUCCUGGUUUCCAAUCAUAGAAAAUAGACUCUCAGUUCAACCUAGAGAAAGUGCUAACCUCAUGUCGCUGCAUCCAUUGCAGUAGUAGGCUCCUCCCCCUCCACAUGCUCAGAAGGCAAAAUGACAGGAUUUGUCACACCCUGGCUUUUAAAAUAAGACCAGAGUCGUCAUAUGUGUGCCCAGGAAGUCCACACAUACAACAAAGAAUAGAAAUAUCAGAAACA
rnacentral:lncRNA from 1 species